UGAGGAAUAUUGGGCAAUGCCCGAAAGGGUGACCCAGCAACGCCGCGUGGAGGAUGAAGGUCGUAAGAUUGUAAACUCCUGUUAGAGGGGAAGAAUAACUAAGUUUGUAGCUUAGUAUGACUGUACCCUCAGAGAAAGCCCCGGCUAACUACGUGCCAGCAGCCGCGGUAAUACGUAGGGGGCAAGCGUUGUCCGGAUUUACUGGGUGUAAAGGGCGCGCAGGCGGAAUGGAAAGUCAGUGGUGAAAUCCUACAGCUUAACUGUAGAACUGCCUUUGAUACUUUCAUUCUUGAGUUCGGGAGAGAGAGACGGAAUUCCAGGUGUAGUGGUGAAAUACGUAGAUAUCUGGAAGAACACCAGUUGCGAAGGCGGUCUCUUGGUCCGAUACUGACGCUGAGGCGCGAAAGCGUGGGGAGCAAACA
rnacentral:rRNA from 1 species